AGGUGAUGUUUUAACAAUAAUAUUGAACUUGGGAAAUGUAUACUGAAGGAAACAAGUAUGUUUAACUCUAAGAGAGCUCAAAAAUAUAAUUUUCUAAUUAGAUAGCUGAUAAAUUUGCCGAAAACAAGUGAAAUCUGACUUUAGCCGACUAACUCAUUUUUUUUAAUCUCGUUACACUCUAAUCAUUUUUAAUGCAUACUGGACUGCCCAGAGGUCAGAUAAGCAAGAUUGUCCUUCAUCUCCGUUAGGCAUUUUAUAAAAAUCUAAUACAGUUUACAAAUUUCAACUAUUCAGACUGCUAAAGUUGCAGGUGUGAAUGCAAAUUAGUCAAAGAUCAGAAUUCUUAAUCAACUUUGGACUAUGCGUGCACAGUAAAUGUUUUAAUUAGAGACCUGAUGUUUUUAUCUUUAAAAUAGUUUUUACAUUUUAGAGGUCAUUCAGACAAUGAAGGGAAUUAAUUUAUAUUUCUUCCUUUUGUAUUGCAUAAUUAUAUUGCAGUUUUUUUUUUUUAACUGAUUUAUUUACUUAUUCUUAACGGUGUUUAAAAUUAAAAUAAUUUUUCCAGAAAUAAAAUAUUAUACUUGAGAAGGCAUAGGAAACAUACAUUCAAAAUUUUUUUUAAAACACUUUUAAGAACAGACCUAAAAAUAACAAAAAUUAAAUAAUCUAUAGAAAGGGAAAAAAGAAUGAGAACAAAAAUGAAGAAUUGUAAAAUUGUAAAUGCAAUUUUCCCAAGAGUUGAACUUAUAUAGGAGUUAAUAUUGGAACUUCAGUGUCAAUUCUAAACCAACUUUGGUCCUUUUGGACAUUCAGACUGAACAGGACUAUUGCUUCACCGUGAGCAGAUGUUAGGACAUUUGAAAAAGUGAAUGGCUCACCUUAAAACUUGUAUUUUAUAUUGCAUAAGAAAUCCGUUCUAUAGUUUUCCUCAUUGGAAUUUUUGAAAUUAAAACUACCCCACCUUUAUUCAAAAUGCACAAUUGAACUAUGAGAAUGAUACUAACUUUGGAGUAAAAUUUAGUUAGUCUAGUAGUCAAAAAAUCAGUACAGUUUAAAAAUUAAUUUUUGCCAGUUGUCUUACUCUUCAGACAAAAUUUAAAAUUACUAAUUAAUGAUACAUGAGAAUUCUGACAUAAGCAAUUUUUUAUCUCAUUUCAAAAUACAACGCAUGAAUAAUAAUAUUAUGAAUAAAUAGCAGUUGUUUAAACAAUUCAAAUUAAAUCCAAUGUUUGAAGGCAAAACAACUAUGUGAAUCAAUUAUCAACAAAGCCUUCAUUUGGUAAUGAGUUAAAAUUAUUUUGGAAGGCAAAUCGAAGGUUUAAAAAAAUUACUCUAAGUGCAUGCCAAGUUUCGAUCAUUACCUAAAGUUUUAAACUUUCAAAUCACUCCACUUUAACUAAACACAACUUAAUUCCAAAUAGGGCAAAAAAAGAAAAUGUUUUGAGACAAAUAAAAAGAUGGAAUUUAUACUUAAAAAAACCAGCAAAUGUGAAAGGUGAAGAACUUUAAUUUCUAGAAUAAGAAUAAAUUAAACAGUGCAAUUUUUAAUAAACUACUACUACUUAUUAUUAUAGCAUGAUAUUUUAAAUUAUCUUCUUUUUUAAUUAUUUCAUGUCAGAAACUAAUGCAAAGCAUUUUUUUUUAUCUACUUCAGUGUAGUUUGAAUUCAGGAUCAGACCUUGAUCUUCUUGGCCAUUCUGCUCACGUAAGUUAAAUUCAGGGCUAUCCACACUCCUCAAAACAUGCAAUUUUUAACUCAUACUUCAAUUUUUUUCCAUAUGCAUACCAUUCUCUCAAGUAUGUCAAUACUUCUUGAUCAAUAUAAAUGAGAAUUCUGGCAUAAGCAUCUUUUUAUCUCAUUUCAAAAUAAACACCUGAAUAAUAUGAAUAAACAGCAGUUGUUUAAACAAGUAACUUAUACAACUGAUCUGAUUGAGAGUGUCAAUAGGUACUCAAUAAUCCGCCAUUGGGCAUUCAAUUUCACAAUUCAUUUAGCAGGGGAAGAAAAAACGAUUAAUAAAAAAAUUGUAUACAGUAGAAUCCUCCAUUUUGAUGUUGAGUCAUUGCCAUGCUUAAGAACAAUUCCUGUAGCGAUGACAUUCCUGUCCUUUUAUUUUUAAACAUUAUUAUUACAAGUAUUUAUUUAGAAAUCGUCGGUGGUCACCAGACCGCAUCUCACGAUUUCUAAAUAAAUAUCAAUUAACGGUCACUAAUCACCACACAUUAUUACAAGUGAUAAGCCAAAGAGCUAUUUCUUUUGUAUAAAUUACCAUGAAAUUGUUGAAUACAUAAAAUUAUUUCAAAUUUCAUCCUAAUAACCCAUAGUUUAGCAGUUUCCAAUCAUUUGGGUCUAGAUACCAUUAAUUGCCAACUAUUUGGUGGAUAGAAACAAGAAGACAGUGAAAAACCAAUAUCACAACCCGCUUAUUAAGAUUGCUAAAAGUCUAAAUGUGCCUGAUAAACGGCCACCAAAAUUAUCAGAAACUGUUAAAAAUUGGUCUUAAUUUCAUUUGUUUUUGUUUCUUUUCAGUCGGAUAGCUUGUUGUCAGUUACAAGCACACACUUCAAAUUAAUUAUCACCAAGUAAAUAUUAAAUACCUCUGUCAUACUUAUAAACAUAUGGCAAAACAACAAGAUUUCAUAGUAAUAUGUUCAUGAUGCAAUUCUCUCACUUGAGAACAUAGGAACAAAAAGUAGGAAAAAGAUACGCAACUUUUGUUGUAUUUUCUGAUUAGAAUAUUACAAUCAUGCGUACAAAAAGUGUAAACAAAGCAGUUCCUCAAAUGUGGGGAAUAUUUAUUUUAAAUGAAACAGCAAGAUUUCUAAUUAAUAUAUUCAUGUAAUGCCAUCACUUCUGAGAAUAUUUGAAGAAAAGUGUAUGUAAAAUGUGAGUAAAUAAAUAAUUUAUAUGCACAGAAUGUUUUUUUCCCGAUUUUCAAUGUUUUGGCUUAGAUUGCAAUUUCUCAAAUGUGAGCAUUUGAAAUGAAACUGCAAGAAUAAAAAUAAUAUAUGUAUGCAAUAUCGUCCCUUUUGAAAACAUUUUAACAAACGUGUGCAUAAAAUAUGAGUUAACUAAGUUAUUUAUAUGCAAAGAAUGAUGUUUCUCCUUGAUUUUUGAAUGUUUUGGCUUAGAGGACCUUACAGUUUCUCAAGUGGGCAUUUUAUUUGAAAUAAAACAGCAAGUUUUCCAACUAAUAUAUUUGUGCAAUACCUUCACGUUUGAGAAUGUUUGAAUGAAAUUUAACAAAAAUUAUGAUUUAGAUAAGCAAUUUAUAUAUUUGGAAUAUAUUUUUUCCAGUGUUUGAAUGUUUUAGGUAAGAUAGCAAUCUCUCAAAUGUGGGGCAUAUUUUUUUGAAAUUAAUCUACAAGAAACCAAAUAUUGUAUGAAUGCAAUAUUGUCCCUUUUUCAACAAAAGUGUGCAUACAAUGUGAGUUAAAUAAGCAAUUUAUAUUCAGAGAAUAAUCUUUAUCUCUGAUUUUGAACGCUUUGGUUUAGGCUGCCAGUUUGUCAAAUCUGGGACAUAUUAAUUUGGAAUUAAA
rnacentral:lncRNA from 1 species